rnacentral:rRNA from 1 species
CCAUUGCUUAUGUUCAAAUUGCUGUGGGUAUGCAGCUCGUCGUUGGAUUUCUGCUGUGGGCGACCGGCCCGCUCUCCGGGCAAGUCUCUGGCUCGGCCCGGGCAUUUUCCUGGAGAACGUAGUUGCGCUUGGCCGUGCGUGUGGCGCGCCACUCAGGGCUCCUAGCGUUGAGGAAAAUAGAAUGUUUCAAGCAGGCACACGCCUUGAACACGUUAGCGUGGAAUGAUGAGAUAGGACCUCGGUUCUAUUUUGUUGGCUUCUAGACCUGAGGUAGCGAUUAAUCGGGAUAGUGGGGGCAUACGUAUUUAAGCGUCAGAGGUAAAAUUAGUGGAUGUGUUACAGACGGACUACUGCGAAAACAACUCCCAAGGAUAUUUCAUUGA